CCAAGACUCUGUAGGACAACAUCACUCCACCAACCAGGAUCCUCACCAGGAAUCUGGAGGACUGAUGGAGAAGCCGUACAUCUGGAAGGCAAAUCCUGAGGACCAGCAGGACUCUACCAUCAAGAAUUCCUCAUAAGUUUGCAUUAUCUGGACAAAGUGGCCUAGACACACCUCAGCUGAACCUCACCUGAUCCUGUUUGGUCGGGGGUUGACACACCUGAGCUAAACCCACCCUGAUCCUGACAUCCUGCUGGUCCAGUCUCCUCAGUUCUCCUGAGCCUCGUCCUCCAGAAGACCUGCGUAGCUCAGCAGUCUGAGGCUGAUGGAUCAAUGACCUCCAGUGGGAGGGAUCUUCUUGACCCCACUUGUAACCGUGUGCUUCCACACGCCUUUCCCUCACAUCUGUCACUAACCUCACCACUUCACUACUCUUUACUGCUUCCUCUUUUCUUCCUUCUCUGUGGUUUAAACCUUUUACACUGAAGGCGCGUCUUCCUGCCCUCAGAGGGUUCAGCGUUAGGGUUGAGAGUCAGGGUUUAGAGUCAGGGACAGAGCUGGUCAGGGAGGACUGCUUUUACACAAACCUCUUGACUUGCUUUCGGAAUGGUGGUGACAUUUUGAAAAGAUUCAUUUGGUAAAAUCUUUUCCUCUGCUUCCCUUUACAAAAUUGUAUCAAACUUCUGUCAAGUGUUUUUGUUUAAAUAUUAAAAUCCCACAUUGACUUCUACAUGUUUGGUGCG